rnacentral:tRNA from 1 species
GCCCGGGUGGCGGAAUGGUAGACGCGGCGGAUUCAAAAUCCGUUAUCGAAAGAUGUGUGGGUUCAAGUCCCUCCCCGGGCA